rnacentral:ncRNA from 2 species
AGAAACAGAUGAGGCGCAUCAAUCAUGAGUACAUAACUACCCUACUGCAAUAAGUUAUGGAAAGGGUGCGAUGCCGAAACACUAUAUUAUGUUGCAGCAUACAUAGUGUUGGAUUCACAGGUUAAGAGCUAAGAAUCUGUCAUUAUAUUACUAUAAUGGAGUGCAUCGCUUGUA